GCUGUGUCCAGUUUGGAGCCAUGGUCGCCAGCUGGAAUGAAGGGCCUAAGGAGUGUCCGUUUCUCUGGCUCCUAUUUGAGUGCAAACAUUCCAUGGGGAGUACAGGCAACGGCAAAGCCCUGGCAUCAGCACAGGUAGGAGCAGCACCCCAUUAGAUACACCCCAAAUGCUGCAUCCUGCUCAGGCUGACCCUGUUUGCUGUAACACUGAAAAGGAGAAAUGCAAACGUUUUCGUACACAGGAGUUGAACGUGGCAGAUGAGGACAGAUACAGGUUUCUAAAAGAAAAACUUGAAGGUAUGACAGCAAAACUUUGACAUGUUGCUAUUUCCAAUCUUUCUCUAGUCAAGUUCUUCUAACCUUUUAAUAUAUAUACCUUAAAUAAUCAAGUCACAGGAGAAGUCAGAUAUACAUAAAGUUUCGAAAAAGUCAAAUGAUUUCUCUUAAAUAAAAUUCUAGGAAAACAAACCAACCAACUCAACAACACAGCUUCCCCAUUUCCUUUUAGUGUUUUGACAAAGAAUGUCCUCUUUGUUCCCACACAACCCUUCCAUCUCAAGGUAUUUACAAUAUUCACAGUCUGCUGUAAAGCAUCAGUAGAUUAUUACCACUAAAAGGCUACACAACCAAGAUAAGGUAUCCUGCAUUUAUGUCCACUGAACAGAAACACAAAAGAGAAAGUAAAGUAUCACUUUAAAAUAUGCAAAUGAGAUCAAUUCAAGUGUGUUUGUAUUUGAAAUCUAAAACAUAACUUUUUCAAGAGUAAAAGAAUCGACUCUGUCACAGAAGUAAAACCAUUUGACCUUCAGUUUUCCUGAUCUGCCCCUCCCUGCCUCCAUUUUAGAUCAGGCCACUCUCAGUUCUCACAGACACUAAAAUCAAUAGCAAACCCAUACAAAGCAGUUCCUCAUCACAAAAGCCCUUAGAAAUGUGACUUCCCUUCAGACACCAAAACACAAUCACAGGUGCACUCACUCUCCAAUCAGUAACUGCUCUCAGUAGUACAAAACAGGCUGAAGCAAUCUCUACAGAGCAUCACACACCAGCGUACAAGCCUUGCUGUCUUUAGCACCAGAUCAAUCUGUCAAGGAACAAUCCUGUCCCAGUGUUAUACUCCCAUGGAUGCUCUCAAGCUCCUUGGAGCUGAUCAGGCUGUGGCAUGGCAUAGCUACAAACUGAUCCAUGUUUCUGCUUGGAAGUCCUGGCUCCCAGGAAAGCACCAGAGUGUUUUCCUCCUCAGAGGGCAGGGUUGCAAAGUGCUUUUGUGGGGAAUUUUCUAUGCUCCUAUUCAAACUCUGGUGAUUUCCUUGUUUGUUUAUUUGCCAUACUUAGAAGUUCCCACACAAUGAGAUAUCUCCCAAAAAAAGACAAAUUUCAAGUUAUAAAGGAAAUAUCCAUACAUUUCAAGAUUGUGCGGAUGUUGACAUGAUCUGGUAUUUAGGACAAGGACAGAAAUGCACAUAUGGCCUACAAACUUGCUGAUGCAAGAUCAAGAAAUGACAAAUACUCAUCUCCUGCCAAUUCCCUACAGCUGUCAUUGAUGCAAGUCAGUACACAAAUAUUCCAUGUAGUGUCAGAAGUACAAUGCUGGCUUAUGCCAAAACUCCCCAUUUCCAUCAGAGAAAGUGAUGGUUAGCUAGGGACUGUGGUUCUCACUCUGCAGUAAAUCAGGCAUUGGAAAACUGUCAGUAGGAUUAAAAGAAAGCUGAUAAGGUGUUGAGGAAGAAUGGGAAAUGAAAUAUCUCCUUCAUGUAGAAAAACUGAGUUACUGCUUACAAAAUUGUAUAGAAAGAGUCAGACAGUGGUUUGCCAUCCAAGCUAAAGGUUACAAGGAAGUCUGUUAUAGAAAAGAGACAAAAAAGGAGGCUAGACUGCCAUAAGAGGAAACUGGGAGAUUCAUGGCUCAAGUUUGUAAAUGUAAACCCAAAAUUAACGAGCUAUGAAAUAUAACAAUAAUGUUCAAGAGUCGUUACUAAUAGCCCUGAAUUGGCACUUCAGUCUGCAGACCGA
rnacentral:lncRNA from 1 species